UAUACGUUGGUGCAUGUGUACAUGGGGUAUUUGGUCGUAGCUAGCCAGAACAUGCAUGCCGGGACAGCACAGCAGCAACACGAAGGAUGCAGCAUGGAAUUGACUGCCCUAUUUAGCGCCAUCCAGCAGCAGCAAGUCGCGUCGCUCUAACGCUUUUUUCUAAUGACGGACGUUGUCAGAUGGAUGCAUCAAUGCAACCAACCAGCCGAUAACACUCCAUUAGAAUUCGAG
rnacentral:lncRNA from 1 species